rnacentral:rRNA from 1 species
AGUGUUCAAUUUUGAACUGUGGUAGGUGAGUAAUGUUCCCUACUAGAAAGGAGAGGGCAAGGCUGGUGCCAGCCGCCGCGGUAAAACCAGCUCUUCAAGUGGUCGGGAUAAUUAUUGGGCUUAAAGUGUCCGUAGCCGGUUUAGUAAGUUCCUGGUAAAAUCGGGUAGCUUAACUAUCUAUAUGCUAGGAAUACUACUAUACUAGAGGGCGGGAGAGGUCUGAGGUACUGCAGGGGUAGGGGUGAAAUCUUAUAAUCCUUGUUGGACCACCAGUGGCGAAGGCGUCAGACUGGAACGCGCCUGACGGUGAGGGACGAAAGCCAGGGGAGCGAACCGGAUUAGAUACCCGGGUAGUCCUGGCCGUAAACGAUGCAUACUAGGUGAUGGCACGGCCAUGAGCCGUGUCAGUGCCGUAGGGAAACCGUUAAGU